rnacentral:rRNA from 1 species
GACGAACGCUGGCGGCGUGCUUAACACAUGCAAGUCGAACGGAAAGGCCCUGCUUUUGUGGGGUGCUCGAGUGGCGAACGGGUGAGUAACACGUGAGUAACCUGCCCUUGACUUUGGGAUAACUUCAGGAAACUGGGGCUAAUACCGGAUAGGAGCUCCUGCUGCAUGGUGGGGGUUGGAAAGUUUCGGCGGUUGGGGAUGGACUCGCGGCUUAUCAGCUUGUUGGUGGGGUAGUGGCUUACCAAGGCUUUGACGGGUAGCCGGCCUGAGAGGGUGACCGGCAACAUUGGGACUGAGAUACGGCCCAGACGCCUACGGGAGGCAGCAGUGGGGAAUAUGGCACAAUGGGCGGAAGCCUGAUGCAGCAACGCCGCGUGCGGGAUGACGGCCUUCGGGUUGUAAACCGCUUGCGCCUGUGACGAAGCGUGAGUGACGGUAAUGGGUAAAGAAGCACCGGCUAACUACGUG